UACAGAGGGGGCAAGCGUUAUUCGGAAUUAUUGGGCGUAAAGGGCGCGUAGGCGGCCUGACAAGUGGAAGGUGAAAUCCCUCGGCUUAACCGAGGAAUUGCCCUCCAAACUGUUUGGCUUGAGUCCGGGAGAGGUGAGUGGAAUUCCCAGUGUAGCGGUGAAAUGCGUAGAUAUUGGGAGGAACACCAGUGGCGAAGGCGGCUCACUGGACCGGAACUGACGCUGAUGCGCGAAAGCGUGGGGAGCAAACGGG
rnacentral:rRNA from 1 species